rnacentral:rRNA from 1 species
CUACGGGCGGCUGCAGUGGGGAAUAUUGGACAAUGGGGGAAACCCUGAUCCAGCAAUGCCGCGUGUGUGAAGAAGGCCUGCGGGUUGUAAAGCACUUUCGGUUGGGAGGACUGCUUCUAGCACUAAUAUUGUUGGAAGUUGACGUUACCUUCAGAAGAAGCACCGGCUAACUCCGUGCCAGCAGCCGUGGUAAUACGGAGGGUGCAAGCGUUAAUCGGAAUUACUGGGCGUAAAGCGCGCGUAGGCGGCUAGAUCAGUCGGGUGUGAAAGCCCCGGGCUUAACCUGGGAACUGCAUCCGAUACUGUCUAGCUCGAGUACAGGAGAGGAGAGUGGAAUUCCACAUGUAGCGGUGAAAUGCGUAGAUAUGUGGAGGAACACCAAUGGCGAAGGCAGCUCUCUGGCCUGAUACUGACGCUGAGGAGCGAAAGCGUGGGGAGCAAACAGGAUUAGAUACCCCGGUAGUC